CCCCUAGAUGUCCGGGGCUGCACGCGCGCUACACUGACGGAGCCAACGAGUAUUUUCCUUGUCCGGAAGGACUGGGUAAUCUUGUGAAACUUUGUCGUGCUGGGGAUAGAGCAUUGUAAUUAUUGCUCUUCAACGAGGAAUUCCUAGUAAGCGUGAGUCAUCAGCUCGCGUUGAUUACGUCCCUGCCCUUCGUACACACCGCCCGUCGCUACUACCGAUUGAAUGGCUUAGUGAGCCUUUGGGAUUGGCAGCCAACACCGGCAACGGUAGCUGGCCGCCGAAAACUUAUGCAAACUUGGUCAUUUAGAGGAAGUAAAAGUCGUAACA
rnacentral:rRNA from 1 species